UUUCCGAGUAUAUACAAUGUGUUUGCAACAUCCUUUGAGUCAGAAUAUUGUUUGUUCUCACAGCCUUUGUCCACGUCAUCUUCCUUUGCCUCCUCUUAGGCUUUCUUCCUUUACCUUGGAAAGGGCUCUUCUUUGCACCUGCUCAAAGUAAGGAGAGGGGAAAACAGCUUUGGCCGGAGGACACGCUCCAACCCAGAGGACAAGGAGCCACAUGCAGAUCUGCUCCUUAGCAGUGAAGCAAGGUAUUUCUUUAGCACCUGCAGUGCUCUGGAUUCAAGUGCAGACUCCACAUGUUCCUUUGCUCAGUGCAAGGGAGAGGACAGGCUGCCAGGAAGGGAACAGACCCACAACAGUGGAGAGAGAAAACAGAGUUUAAGACUUGGAGCUCCAAACUUGUCAACCCAGCACCUCACUCCUGGUUCUUGGGCUUGUGUGAGGAUGUUCUUCACAGUCUCUGAUCCAUCCCUGUGCUGUACAUCAAAAGACUCUGGAUUAGCUCCAUAGCACCCUGCAAAACCACCCAGGACAGACUUGCUGUUGCUGAGCCCCUGCCAGGAGUAGAUGAUGAUUAUGGACGUUUGCCCUGAGGGACAUGAAGUUCACUAUUUCAGCUCUUGAAAUCUUAGCUGUGCUCUUUCUGGGACGUUACUUGGGCUGUGGUUUCACAGGAAUCUCAUGGAAUCACAGAAAACAGGGUGCCUAAAGUGAUACCAGAAGCAGCUGUACCCCUACCUCUCUCUGAGAGCGGUGAAACAUUGGAGUGAGCAAAGGGAAGAUCAUGGAUCUCCAUCACUAGAGGUUUUGAAGGAUAAGGAGGAGCAAUGUCCAUCAGGAGUGACACAGGCUGAGUCCAUCCUGCACAAGGACAGAAACUGAGUCCUGCCCAGUGCUGCCUCUGCAGAGUCCAAAGGGCUGUAUGUGAGCUCUGACCACGAUGGUCACUGGGGAUCUUGGCAGUAUCUGGGGCCCCACACAUGGGCAUUGAGAUCUUUUGGAGGUCACAUCAGGGAUCCUGGCCUGACUCUACAAUGAAUGUCCCCCCCUGGCCUCAGGGGACACUUGUCUCAGCCCAACAGGGUGACCCAGUCAGCACCUGGGUGUCAGGAGCUGUGGAGGAGCUUCCUGAGGGAUAAUCCGGACAAGAUAACACAACCCAACAGCUCCUGUCCAGAGGGAGAUGGGAAACAGAAGGUGGCAGAGGAGGAGCCCAGGAGGAAAGCCCACCCAAGAACCACCGGCGAGGGCACCCAUAAUAAACAUAAUAAACCCAUAAUAAACAGGGGGGAAGCUGGAGAAGCAGUACCCUUGGAUAUGUCAGUCCAGCUGUGUGUCAUCUCCAACAGCAUCCUGCAACCCACACGUGGCCUGACCCAAAGCCCUUUGGCGCAAAUAAGGAAGAGCCUUGCUUCCAGGAACAACCUGGAUGGGGUGCAAUCAGGGAGAAGGGCUGUGCAACCCUUUACCAAGCAUUUCUCUGGGAGAAAAUAAAUGCCAAGUGCCACUUGUUCCCUCCCCUGUUCCCAUCCCCUCCUUCAGGGAGACGUGCCCCAAAGGGAAAAUCUGAACAGCUUUGUAUUCUGGCUGGAGGCUGGACCCAGGGUCAAGGCUGUGUGAUGGCUGUGCUGGGGACACAGCACGUGACAAGGUUCAAUUAAAACAUUUCACAGGCACAAGGCUGACCUAUUCACAGACAAAUUGGUCUUAUAAAUAAAAUGAAUGUGUGCAGGACAAAUAGUGAGCCUGUCAACCCCGCAAAGCCCUGCCUGGAGAGCUGGGAAAUAUUUUAUUGGGAUAUAAAGUCUUAAAUGCCAUUCUCCGCGCAUGGACGGGGGCUGUGUGCCUCUUCAUCAGCGAGCCCCACUGCCUGCUCCUGCAUUUUGAUUCAUGGCUGAGUGGGAACCUUCAAUUCCCUUUGGUGGCUUUGCAGAGUGUGAUUGACAACCCGCAGGUCAGAGUCUGACUUCAGCUCCCCAGUGCCCAGAAACACGGAGAGCAGAGCUCAGGGCCGUGGGGACGUCACUGAGAGGAGUCCUCUUCUCUCCAGGCCAGGCUGGAAGUGCUCUGGUGCUUCCCACACCCCCAUCACACCGUCUCCGCUCCACUGAUGCCAUUAGCAUGGGGGCAGAGGGGACAAACCCUUCCCAGUCACAUUUCUUUCCAGCUCCAUCCUUAUAUCCCUCCUUCCUUGUCCAGAAUUGGGGGGGAAAAAAAAA